rnacentral:hammerhead_ribozyme from 1 species
GCAGCGCUGACGAGUCCCAAAAAGGACGAAACAGCCGUCCACUGC